CCCGAGGACGUGUGCCCGGCCGAGGCGCCUGCCCCGAGGGAGGAAAAUGCUCGGGCUCCAUGGCUGCCAGUGAUGGAGCGGUCCCUGAGCGCCCGCUGCCACCGCCGCCGCACCCCGGCCGUGCUCCGCGAGGACCCGGCGUCUCUGCGCGCCCGCCCGCGCCUCGUUGCUGGGCUCACCGUACCGGGCGCCCCGCCGCCGCCCCGCUCGGAGCCUCGUCGCCCCGGCUCCAGCCUUGGCCAGCGUUUCCUCCCGGAGCAGCCACCGCGAGCCCAGGGGGUUUGAAGGGGUCCGCGGGGCGUGGGGGGAGGGCCGAGCGGGGCCCGCGGGGCCCGGAGGGGAGGUUUGAGCGACACUGAGCUCGGUGCUCGCCGGCGGCGGCGGUGCCGGGGGCGGCGAGGGGAAGGCGACACUCGCUCCGCGCCGCCUUCGUGCGGAGCGACCGGGAGGGUUUGGCUGCGGCCGCCGCCAGGCCGGCAGGAGGAGGGGUCGAGGUAGCUUCGGAGUUGUCCGGAGAAGGUGGGCAUUUCUCGGCUCUCCCAGCCCCUCUCCUGUCUCCCCCGCCCCUGGUCUCCCCCUCCCUCCUGCCCGCACCCCACGUGAGGCGGAAUAUAAAGGGGGGUGUGAGGCUAGAGGGGAGAGUGAAUGGUGAAGGACUGAGGGGGUCCCCCCUUCGGGUCCCCGCCCGCCCUGUUCACCCUCGUUCAUCCUCCCUUCCCGAAGCUCGCCCUCGAAGGCAGGAGCGGCCGGCGCCUGCGGCGGCGGCGGAGGAGGAGGAGAAGGAGGGAUCGCGCCGGGCCCGCUUUCCUCCCCAGCGUCUUGAAUACAAAGAUUGCGGUGCAGAAGGAAAUUGCACUCGCCUCCUCCGCCCCCCGUACCCGACACAAUGCAUCAGCCGCCUGAGUCCGCCGCCGCCGCGGCCGCUGCAGACAUGAGUGCUAGGAAGAUGGCGCACCCGGCAAUGUUCCCUAGAAGGGGCAGCGGCAGCGGCAGCGCCUCUGCCCUCAAUGCAGCAGGUACCGGCGUUGGUAGUCAUGCCACAUCUUCCGAGGAUUUUCCGCCCCCGUCGCUGCUCCAGCCGCCACCUCCUGCCGCAUCUUGUGCGUUGGGACCACAGCCUCCGCCUCCACAAAGCCUGAACCUCCUUUCGCAGGCUCAGCUACAGACACAGCCUCUUGCACCAGGCGGAACUCAGAUGAAGAAGAAAAGUGGCUUCCAGAUCACUAGCGUGACCCCGGCUCAGAUCUCUGCCAGCAUCAGCUCUAACAACAGUAUAGCGGAGGACACUGAGAGCUAUGACGAUUUGGAUGAAUCUCACACGGAAGAUCUGUCGUCUUCCGAGAUCCUUGAUGUGUCCCUUUCCAGGGCUACUGACUUAGGAGAACCUGAACGUAGCUCCUCAGAAGAGACACUAAAUAACUUCCAGGAAGCCGAGACACCUGGGGCAGUCUCUCCCAACCAGCCCCACCUUCCUCAGCCUCUUUUGCCUCACCUUCCACAACAAAAUGUUGUGAUCAACGGGAAUGCUCAUCCACACCACCUCCAUCACCACCAUCACGUUCAUCAUGGGCACCACCUCCACCAUGGACACCACCAUCCUUCCCAUGCUGGUGUGGCCAGUACAUCCGUUCCUGGAGGGCCACCCUCAAGCCCACUAUCCAGAAAACUCUCUACAGCUGGGAGCUCUGACAGUGUUAUACCAACUGCACCAACUUCUGCUGUAUCAUCGGGUGGCUCACCUGCAUCUGUAAUGACUAAUAUCCAUGCUCCCAGUACUACCGGCAGUAUAGGUAUAAAUUCUGUUGCUGGCACUAAUGCAGUGAAUAAUGUUAACAUUACUGCUGUGAGUAGUUUUAAUCCUAAUGUGACAAGCAGCAUGCUUGAUAAUGCUAAUAUAAAUACAAGCAAUAUUCCUAGUGCUGCUAGCGGGAGUGUUGGGCCUGGAGUUAACAGCAGUGUUAAUGUGAAUAUCUUAAGUGGCAUGGGCAAUGGUACUAUUUCUUCCUCGGCUGUUGUUAACAGUGUCCCUAAUGCAGCUGCAGGGAUGACUGUGGGAUCAAUUUCAAGUCAGCAGCAACAACCAACAGUUAACACUUCAAGGUUCAGAGUUGUGAAGUUAGAUGCUAGUUCUGAACCCUUUAAGAAAGGUAGAUGGACUUGCACGGAGUUCUAUGAGAAAGAAAAUGCUGUACCUGUUACAGAAGGUGUGGUUAUAAAUAAAGUGGUGGAAACUGUAAAACAAAACCCAAUAGAAGUGACUUCUGAGAGGGAGAGCACUAGUGGGAGUUCCGUGAGCAGUAGUGUCAGCACACUGAGUCACUACACCGAGAGUGUGGGAAGUGGAGAGAUGGGAGCCCCUACUGUGGUGGUGCAGCAGCAGCAGCAGCCACAACCAGCUCUUCAAGGUGUGGCCCUUCAGCAGAUGGAUUUCAGUAGCACUGGUCCACAGAGUGUUCCGGCAGUUAGUAUAUCACAGACUGUUGCUCAGUCACAGAUCUCACAAGUACAAUUACAGCCUCAAGAACUGAGCUAUCAACAAAAGCAAGGUGUUCAACCAGUACCUCUACAAGCCACUAUCAAUGCUGCAACUGGUGUCCAACCAUCACCUGUUAAUGUUGUUGGGGUAACUUCAGCUUUAGGUCAGCAGCCUUCCAUUUCUAGUUUGGCUCAACCCCAACUGCCAUAUUCUCAGACGGCUCCUCCUGUGCAAGCUCCCCUUCCAGGGGCACCACCCCAGCAACUACAAUAUGGACAACAAUCGAUUGUUUCCACACAGAUGGCCCCAGGUCAUGGUAAGCCAGUGACUCAAAUUCCUACUUCGGAGUAUGUACAGCAGCAGCCGAUUCUUCAAACAGCAGUGCCCUCUGGUCAGUCCAGUUCUGCAGGAGUGGGAGGAGGAACCACGUUGAUUCCUAUGGUUCAGCCACAGAGUAUCCAGUUGCCAGUGCAGCCCCCAGCAGUCCAAGCACAACCUGCAGGGGCAUCUGGCCAGCCUGUUGGCCAGGUUCAAACAGCAGUAUCUGCUGUACCUACUGGCAGUCAAGUUGCAAAUAUUGUUCAACAAGCAAAUGUACCCACUGCAAUGCAGCAGGUCUCUUCCCAAGUAACACCUUCAGUUGUUCAGCAAGGUGCUCCUCCAUCUUCACAAAUAAUUCCACCUGCUCAAACUGCGGUUAUUCAUCAGGGAAUUCAAACUAGUGCUUCAAGCCUUCCUCAACAAUUGGUCAUUGCACCCCAAAGUACAUUGUUAACUGUGCCUCCCCAGCCACAAGGAGUAGAAUCAGUAGCUCAAGGAGUUGUCUCACAGCAGUUGCCUGCAGUUAGUCCUGUACCCUCUGCUAGUAGUAUUUCUGUUACAAAUCAGGUUAGUUCAGCUGGUCCUUCUGCAAUGCCUUCUGUUCCAACAAACUUGGUUCCAUCACAGAAUAUAGCACAAACCCCUGCCACUCAAAAUGGUAGUGUGGUUCAGAGUGUUAGUCAACCUCCCUUGAUAGCAACUAAUAUAAAUUUGCCUUUGGCACAACAGAUAUCACUAAGUUCUCAGUUCUCUGCACAAUCAUUAGCUCAGGCAAUUGGAAGCCAAAUUGAAGAUGCCAGGCGCCCAGCGGAACCCUCUUUAGUUGGCUUACCUCAGACUAUCAGUGGUGACAGUGGGGGAAUGUCAGCAGUUUCAGAUGGGAGUAGCAGCAGCCUAGCAGCCUCUGCUUCUCUUUUCCCGUUGAAGGUGCUACCGCUGACGACACCCCUGGUGGAUGGAGAGGAUGAGAGCUCUCUAUUUCAGUGCUUCUCUCCUACCAGAGGUGCAAGGAGUGAUCCUAGAACCACAGAUACAGCCAAGACCACGGAGAGCUUUUGACGUCAGGGGUCCACUUUCUCCACUGAACCCUUGGAGGCAGAAUAUCCAGCUUCUGGAGAGAGUGGGAAAGGAUAAUAAACAAAUUUCUUUCAACUGGUAAACAUCAUACUUCUUCAGCAAAAGGAACUCUCCUAGCAGAGCCUUCAUGGAUGAUAUCUGUCACACAUGCAGCACCUGCAGUUUGGAAGGCAGUGGUGAACGGAGCCAUGCAAUAUAUCUAGAAGACACAAGGAUGAGAGAGCCACCUGAUCUUGUCAUUUAUAAACUUUAAGAUUUACUCUGGUGUACUCUUGGUCUGGAAAUGGAAAGGCUCAAUUAAUGAAAUAAUUUUUUCAGAUUGGAUUUUACAUGGUCAUGAAAAUAUUCCUUUCUAUUCAGAAGACUGAAAUAGAGGAAGCAUGAGAGACUCCUUUCUUUUAAAAGCAGCUCUCUGUAUCUGUUUCACUUAACAGAUUUGUGGGAUUGAAAAUCACCUUAAAAUCAAGCAGGCAAACAUUUUUUUGUAGUAUUAUGAGAGAUCCAAAAAAUUUAGUGAAACGUUUUUUUUUUCCUCUGACACUGAAAGAAACCAGAAAUAAACUAGAAGCUAGAACUUCUUAAUUACUCCCAAAUUAUUUUUAAAAUUAAGGCUACACUUUUAGCUUAUCUUUUUCUGGUCUUGAGUCAUAUUUUCAUUUGUCAAAUCAGUAUAGAAGUAGAAGAGACAUCUUUUGAGAUGAAAGUAGCUUUUACUCCUUCUAAAGUAGUAAAUACUUGUUAAACGUGAGGAAUUGUUCUGCAUUGAAAACAUAGUAAAGUUUGAAUGAUACUGAAACAAAGCAGGUAGUAGUCCAUGUAAGUGUUGCAAGAUAACUAUCCAAACUAUCAAUUAAUUGAUCAUAAUAGUUAUCAAAAUUUUUCUACUUCUCUUUUUGAUAUCUCUUAACUGGUCAGUUAAAGCUAUUAAAGUAGUUUUUAAAAGUUGCCCAAAGCUAUCAGUUUGUUUUAUUUGGUAUAAAUUUUAAGAAUGGAAAUUGUAGAAUUAUUAAUAUGGAAGCCUUUAAAAUGUUUUAGGAUUCUAGAAACAUUUGCCAAGUUAUAACCUGGCCUUUAGUCUUUCUUGACUAUCUAUUAGACCUGUAUUUGCCUCAUUGAUUAUAAAUAAAUUUUUGUAUGUGUAGUACUUAAAAGAAAGUGUAAAAGGUCAAUUUAAACUAAAAUUUCUUUAGAGAGCUCUGAAUUUUCAUAAAUCAUUACAACUUUUUAUGCUUGAUUUGUUUUUGUUAAAUGUUAAUAAGAAAGUCUUUACAAACAUAUAAAUUUAAAAAAUAGCUGCUCAACAUUUUAGAAGGAACUUAGGGAAAUUGAAAGUGAGAUUUCUUGGAAGUUAAGUUAGUUGAACUCUUUGAACCAGUUUAUGGCCUGUGAGAUUAUUAGCCUUUUGUUUGAGUUUUGAAAGAUGGAAAUGAUUUAAUUUCUUAAUCUCAUGCUUUGAUUAAAUUUUAGCUCUGUUUCUUAAAGUGUACAAAAGAAAUGUAAGUGCAUUUCUAUUCACCUCAUGCCACUGAAAGCUAUUUAAAACUGAAACUUUUUGUAUAUUAAUGUAAAUUGAUUUGUUUAUUUAAAUUUUUAUUUUAAUAUUUUUUCUUUCAGAUUUUUAAAUAUUUUGUGUCACAAUAUG